rnacentral:rRNA from 1 species
GACGAACCGUCCAAACGUUAUUCGGAAUCACUGGGCUUACAGAGUUCGUAGGCGGUCUGGAAAGUUGGGUGUGAAAUCCCUCGGCUCAACCGAGGAACUGCGCUUGAAACUACCAGACUCGAGGGGGAUAGAGGAAAGCGGAACUGAUGGUGGAGCGGUGAAAUGCGUUGAUAUCAUCAGGAACACCGGUGGCGAAGGCGGCUCUCUGGGUCUUACCUGACGCUGAGGAACGAAAGCCAGGGGAGCGAACGGG